GCAUUCCAGAAGGAGAGACAAUGUUACUCAGUACUUACCAUAUUAUGAUUUGGAGGGAGAGAAAACUUCUGAUACUCUGUGGCACAACAGAAGAAAGCUUUAACUGUAAGAACACACUACCUCCUCAUCACUCUGGUGACAUGUGAAGGCUGGAAAACCUGAUGUUCAGGAAAAAAUUUACAAUAAACAGACUAUGAAGACGAUGACAUCUCUAAUCCUCAUACUGUAGAAGAUGAAGCAAGAGAAAUACCACAAGUUUCAAGCCAGGAUGGGAGACACUCAGUGAGUUUUAGAUCAACCUAGGCUGCAGUCUGAGAUCUUGACAAAGAGAAGAUAAUAAAAGAAGACAGCAAAAGUGACUCGAAUUUCAAGAUAAGAAUCUGUAAAGGCUUUUCUACCUGACUUGGCAACAGCUUUAGAUCAGGAAUUGUUUUGUGCCACCUACAAGUUUGCUAACAUUUUUAUCCUUAAAAGAAUGGAGAUUUUAUGACGUAAAUUGAUAUAAUAAUUUUGAAAGACACUGGAAUGCACUAAAUCAUUAAAAAUACUGAAGAUUGACCUGAAGAGGAUUUGAAUAAGAAGUUUGGUGCAAAUAACAAGGAGUAUGCUGUCUCAAAAAGAUGGAAUGUGAAGACCAAAACUGAGGUUCUCUGACCUGGACUCAUGCUAUCUAGGUA
rnacentral:lncRNA from 1 species